UUGCAUGUUUUGUUUUUCCCCCCACAUGUAUUUGCAGCAUUCCUGUAGUUUGCCUGUUGAGCUUGUCAACAGGAAUGUGAGCAGCUAAUCCUGAUGUGAUGGAAGCUUUUCCCGCCAGGUCAGUGUUGGCGUUUCAGAGCCGGCGGACAGUGUUAUGGAAAUCUGCCCCUCCAUUCUGUCAUUGUUGUGCGGUUUAAGGGUGCUCAGUCUUCCCCCUUUUUGAAAGGACUGCGAGAGACUGGGUGCACGAGGACGUACGUGUGAGUGAAGCUUCUAAUUUAAUGACCAAAGCUGAUGAUCUGUCAGACGGCUGUGGUCGUCAACAGCAACAUCAUUAGCUUCCUCUAGCUGCCAUGGCAACCGUGAGAUGCAUGAGUACAGACGAUAUAACUUCAGGUACCUCAAAAUACGCUUAGUUUGCCCACUUUUUGUGGUCAGUCAUAUAUAAAAAAAAAACUUCACUUUCAGAACGUAACAAAGCUUAAUGCAUCUUGGUUUUUAAUUCAUACAGUUUAUAUGUACAUCCAUGUUCAGUCAUAGUUUCCAGAAUGCAGCAAAUUCCAUCUUUACAGCUAUACAGUGUUCCAGUUAUGAGUAUAAAACAAAGAGUUAAUAAUAAUAAUAAUUAAUCAUAAUCCUGGUUUGAUCGUACAGCAGUUUUCCAAAAGAAUGACA